rnacentral:lncRNA from 1 species
CCACACGCAACAAUAGCUCAUGGGUACCACAGAUAACUUUGCCAAAGUUCUCUGCCAAAGUUGAGCACGUGAAGCUUGCAGCUCCCACUACAUCGCUCUGCUCUGACCAAGAAAGGUAAAAGAAUAGCAAAGAAACAGCACUAACAAAGUUUAGACACAUAAAUGUUGAAGGUCUAGCUACCAUAUUAUUACCCACAAGGGUAAAGGAACAGUACCACUGCUGGAUAAUUGGAAAGUCCUUGUGUGUCAACCUCUGUGCUUCGUGGCAAGGUAGACUAGCAAACAUGCCCAACCUUUACUCACUUUCGAGAAAACACUCCCAACAAGAUUGCUUGCUCCAAAAUCGAAGAGGCACCGUCCUCCGAAUCUCGAGAGCCAGACUCCCAACAUGACUACUUUCUCAAAAGCGAAGAGAGGGUAAAGGAACAGUACCAUUGCAACUGGCAGCUCCCACUACCGUGCUAUGACCAAGCAGGGUAAAGGAAUAGCAUUACUACUUGUUGUUAGGGAGACUCCUAUAUAUGUCGACCUCCAUCCCCAACGGACAGGCAGACCUGCAAAAAUGCUCAACCCUUCAUCAUAUCUGAGAGGGCACUCCCAACGAAGCCUUUCGAAAUAUUCAGCUUUCUUUCCCCCCGAUAAUACCUCUGCAAACAAGCUAUACUAGAGCAAGAAUAUCUCAUAUCAUCAGGGUUAAAAGCAAGAGUAUCUCAUAUCAUGCUUUUUCCCUGUCUUUUCCUUUGGCCUUGUUUUUACCUGCAAGACAAGGAGAAAGAGAGCAAUCAGUCAGCACUUGGAAUCAAGCUUCCAGCCAGGAACUGACUGCCUGGAACCCCUUACCUGAUUACUUACCUGGCAUUGCUCUCGAGUACUCAUCUUCAACAUCUUAUGUUUCCAGGGAAGAUUCUGCAUCUGCUUGAGGAACAGAUAGGGCAAGUGCGAAGGAUACAAGGAAGCAUGUGGAGACAAGCGUAACAGCACACGUGCCGAUACACCCAUUACUCUGUCAAAAGCAAAAGUAUCCCAUAUCAGUAGGGUGGAACGUACUCUAGAUUUGAUGGACUUGUUUUGACCCUCAAAUCAAAUUCUUCAGUCGGCCUUAUACUCUGGAGGAAACCAGAAAACCCUCCAGCUCAGUUCAAGAAUAAGCCUGUGGAAAGUUACUUCUUCAAAAGCAAAAGUAUCUCAUAUCAUCUCUUCUCAUUUUUCUUCUCUCUUUAUCCUUCAUGCUGCUGCAAGAUGGGGAGAAGGUGAACAAUCAGUCGGAGUCGGAGCUCUGAUUGCUUACCUUGUCUGUCACCUCUUUCAGCAGACCCCCUAGCUCGGCGACUUGGGGGACUCCUACUACAUGGUUUGUAUCGCGCUUGACCAAGCCUGAGACUACAAGUAAGCUUCAAGUGAAAUUGAUACAUUACCUUGUGCAUCUCCACCAGUUAAAGAUACCACCCCCUGGAUGGAGGAAGAGUACUUUCAGAGAAGAUGCCACAUCUACCUAUGAGACAGAUAAGGCAAGUCAAGACGACACCACACUCCGAUACUUAGAAGUUUCGUGAUUACGAGAUCAUUCUCCCACAAUAUUUCCUAAUGUCAUUUGUACAAAAUCAUUCACUUGUACUCACUAAAGGAGAGCUUGAACCUAUGUACUUGUGUAAACCCUUCACAAUUAAUGAGAACUCUUCUAUUCUGUAGACGUAGCCAAUCUGGGUGAACCACGUACAUCUUGUGUUUGCUUUUCCUAUCUCUAUCCAUUUAUAUACUUAUCCACACUAAUGACCGGAGCAAUCUAGCGAAGAUCACAAAAAAGCGACCGUUUUCGCUACCUAGGAUCUAUCUUGCAAGAGAACGGAGAAUUAGAUGGAGAUCUCAACCAUAGAAUACGAGCUGGAUGGAUGAAGUGUAAGAGUGCAUCCGGCGUGUUGUGUGACCGUCGUAGGCCACUGAAGCUCAAGGGAAAAUUUUAUAGGACGGCAAUAAGGCCAGCGAUGUUGUAUGGCACAGAAUGUUGGGCGGUGAAGCAUCACAACACGUACACAAAAUGGGUGUAGCGGAGAUGAGGAUGCUUCAUGGGAUGUGUGGGCACACGAGAAAGGAUAAGAUUGGGAAUGAGGAUAUCCGAGGUAAAGUAGGAGUAGCCGAAAUUGUAGGAAAGAUGAGAGAAAAUCGGCUCCGAUGAUUUGGACAUGUGCAAAGAAGGCCGACUGACGCUCCGGUUCGAAGAUGUGACUACGGGACAGAGGUUCAGGGCCAAAGGGGUAGAGGAAGACCUAGGAAAACUUUGGAAGAGACUCUAAGAAAAGACUUAGAGUACUUGGAUCUAACGGAGGACAUGACACAAAACCGAGCGCAAUGGCGUUCUAGGAUUCAUAUAGCCGACCCCACUUAGUGGGAAAAGGCUUUGUUGUUGUUGUUGUUGUUGUUGUACGUGGACCCUGACUCAUUUUCUGAGCACCCAGGAAUUCUCCUUGUUUGCUUCUCCCCCUGGGGUCUGGGGAAAGGAACCUUCAAAACAGCCAUAGGGAGGCCAUUGAGCCAGCCUCGUCCUGUGUGCCUGGAUUCGCCUCGUUCUGCAUGUGAGCUGUUCACAUCGUUUUGCAUGCCAAAAGCUCACCAUUUUUGCGUCCACAGAGCCCGUGUUGUUUUAGCGUGCACCGAACCAACCUCGUUUUCUGUGCGCAAGGUUAGCCUCGAUUUGUGCGACGUAUCCCUCCUCAUUUUUUGUGCACAAGGCUUGCCUUGUUUUGCAUGCUAGAAGCCUACAUCGUUUUGCAUGCCAUGGUUGGCCUCGUUUUGCGUGAGUGGCAUCUUCCUUGUUUUGAGUGCGUCGAGCCCGCCGAUCACCCAUGUUUUUUUUUGACAAAAAUAUAAAAUUUUCAUUUUCACUAAAUAUUUUUCUUGAGCAUUAAGUUAAACUUUUGAAGGAAUUUGGAAGCAAUUUUACGGUUUAUUGAGCAAUGAAUUUAUAUUUAGUAGAAUAUUUAAGCCGAAAACAAAAAAAAUAAGUGAAAAAUAUAGUGGUGAGGACCAGAACAUUGUCAAAUGGGGCUCUACAAUCAAGAAUCUCAACGGAAAGUCUUCUCUUAAUUUCAAAACUCAACAGUCAAGCGAAGGUUAAAAAAAAUUGAUUGAACAAUGAUUAAUGUAUGAAUUUGCAAAACCGAUUGAAAACCGUGAGUGUUAAUCCACGUUUUUUUGUGAAAAAUGCAAAUUUUUUAUUUUCUUGAAAUAUUUCCCGUGCACAUUAAGGAAAUCUUUAUAAUAUAUUUGGAAGCAAAUUUACGACUUAUAGAGCAAUAACUAUAUAUUUAGUUGAAUAUUUAAGCUGAAAAGUAAAAAUAAAAAAAAUUGAAAACUAUAGAGAUGCCAAAAUGUAUAGUUAGUGUAUAUUUUUUAAAUUAGAGAUGUUAAAAUCACUUGUAGUUGAGGCUUAAAUAAAAAAUAGCAAAAUUUUGUUUUGUUAAAUAGUCUUUCACCUUCUUUUGGCUGACAAAAAAAGUUAUAUUAAUAUGUAGUUUAGGUUUAGAUAAAAUAAAAACAAAAAAAAGUCGUUGAUUACAAGUGUUGAAAUAUGAAUUAUAAUGAAUUUUUCCCGGAAAAAUAAUCAUUUUUGAACAUGAAUAUGAUAGUUUGUUGUAGUGGUAAGAGAAAUAUAAGAAAAUUAACAAAAAUGUGGAAAAAAAGAUUUAAAUUCUUGCACCCUCAAGAAUUUCACUCAUUUUUGCACAUUUUUUUGUUAAUGUUUCCUUUUAUUUCUCUUGCCACUACAACAAACUACUACUCAUGUUCUUCAAAAUUUAAUUUUCCAUUCGUGGACCCCGACUCAUUUUCUAAGCACCCGGGAAUUCGCCUCACUCUGUGUCUGCGAAGUCGGCUUUGUCCUGUGUGCUUUGGUUCACCUCGUUCUGCAUGUGAGGUGCCUUCAUCAUUUUGCAUGCCAAAAGCCCACCGUUUUUGCAUCCACGGAGCCCGCGUCGUUUUGGCGUGCAAGGAACCAGCCUCAUUUUUCUUGCGCAGGGCUAGCCUCGAUUUGUGCGACGUAACCCUCCUCAUUUCUUGUGCAUGGAGCUCGUCUUGUUUUACGUGCCAAAAGCCCUCAGUUUUUUGCAAAAGAAGUCCACAUCGUUUUGUGUGCCAUGGUUGGCCUAGUUAUGCGUGAGCAGUAUUCGUCUCGUUUUGCAUGUGUCAAGCCCGCCGAGCACCCAUGUUUUUUGACAAAAAUGCAAAUUUUUUAUUUUCACGAAAUAUUUCUUCAGAGCAUUAAGUUAAACUUUUGAAAGAAUUUGGAAGCAAUUUUACGGUUUAUUGAGCAACGAAUGUAUAUUUAGUAGAAUAUUUAAACCGAAAACUAAAAAAAUAAGUGAAAAAUAUAGUGGUGAGGUGAGGCCCAGAACAUUGUCAAAUGGGGCUCUACAAUCAAGAAUCUCAACUGAAAGUUUUCUCUUAAUUUUCAAAACUCAACAGUCGGGCGAAGUUGAAAAUAAAUUAAUUGAACGGUAAUUAAUGCACGAAUUUGCAAAACCGACCGAAAAUAGUGAGUGUUAAAUCCACGUCUUUUUUCUAAAAAAUGCAAAUCUUUUAUUUUCUCUAAAUAUUUUUGGUGAGCAUUAAGGAAAUCUUUAUAAUGUUUUUGGAAGUGUAUUUACGAUUUAUAGAGCAACAAGUAUAUAUUUAGUUGAAUAUUUAAGCUGAAAAGUAAAAAACAUAAUAAUAAUUGAAAACUAUAGAAAUGCGAAAAUGUAUAUUUAGUGUAUAUUUUUUAAAUUAGAGAUGUUAAAAUCACCUGUAGUUGAGGCUUAAACAAAAAAUAGCAAAAUUUUGUUUUGUUAAGUAGUCUUUCACUCUCUUUUGGUUGACAAAAAAAGUUCUAUUAAUAUGUAGUUUUGGUUUAGAUAAAAAGAAAAAUUAAUAGAAAAAGGUACAAAUAUCUUUAAACUUAGGUUUUAAGUCAUUGGUUACAAGUGUUGAAAUACGAAUUAUAAUAGAUUUUUCACGGAAAAAUAGAAGAACAUGAAUAUAAUAGUUUGUUGUAGUGGUAAGAGAAACAAAAGAAAAUUAAUAAAAAUGUGCAAAAAUGAUUUAAAUUCUAGGGGGUGCUAGAAAGUUAGGCUGGCCUCGAUUUGUGUGACGUAUCCCUCUUUGUUUUUCGUGCGCAAAGCUGACCAUGAUUUUCGCACAAUAUUUUCUGUGAGCAUUAAAGAAACAUUUACAAGGCAUUUGGAUGCAGUUUUAUGAUUUAUAGAGCAGCAAAUGUAUGUUUAGUAGUAUAUUUAAGCCGAAAAGUAAAAACAUAAAUGAGUGAGUUCCAAAAUAUUGUUAAAAUUGGGUUCAACCCUCAAGAAUAUCAACGGAAAGUUUGUCUUUAAUUUUCAAAAGACUUCAUGGUGAGGCGAAGGUGAAAAUAAAUAGAUUGAUCAAUGAGUUAUGUAAGAAUUUGCAAAACUGAGCAUUAAAAACAUUCAUCAAUGAGUGUUACCCACGUUUUUUGUUAAAAAAAACAUUUUUUUUUAAUUUUCGUGAAACAUUUUCAAUGAACAUUAAAGAAAAGUUUAUAAGGCAUUUAGAAGCGGUUUUAUGAUUUGUUGAACAACAAAUGUAUAUUUAGUACAAUAUUUAAGCCGAAAACUAAAAAAUUAAGUGAAAAUUAUACUAGUGAGGCACAAAACAUUGUUAAAAUGGGGUUACACCCUCUAGAAUAUCAACGGAAAGCCUUACUUGAUUUUCAAAAUUUCACGGUGAGGCAAAGGUGAAAAUAAAUAGAUUGAAUGAUGUUUUAUGUACGAAGUGGAAAAACUACUAAAAAUCGUGAGUGUUAACCCACAUUUUUUCUCAAAAAUGCAAAAAAAUAAAAAAUUUGCGAAAUAUUUUUCGUGAGCAUUAAGGAAAACUUUUUAAGUCAUUGGAAGUGGUUUUAUGAUUUAAUGAGAAAAAAAAAUGUAUAUUUAGUAGAAUAUUUAAGCUGAAAACUAAAAAAAAAUAAGUGAAAAAAUAGAAUAGUGAGGCCCAAACUAUAACAUCUCACAUCGCCCAGAGGAGUGAUCCUUAAAUGUAUAUUCCUAUCCCUACCUAGCACGAGGCCUUUUGGGAGCUCACUGGCUUCGGCUUUCGUAGGAACUCUGAAGUUAAGCGAGAAGGAAGCCAGAGCACUCUCAGGAUGGGUGACCCACUGGGAAGUUGCUCGUGAGUUCCCAAAAAUAAAAUCGUGAGGGAAUGGUAAGCCCAAAGAGGACAAUAUCGUGUUACGGUGGUGGAAUGGACCCGGAAUGUGGUGGACCCAGCUGGGAUGUGACAAAUGGUAUCAGAGCCAAUCCCUGGUUGGAAGUGUGCCGACGAGGACGUCGGGCCCCUAAGGGGGGUGGAUUGUAACAUCCCACAUCGCCCAGAGAGUGAUCCUUAAAUAUAUAUUCUCAUCUCUACCUAGCAGGAGGUAAGCCCAAAACGGACAAUAUCGUGCUACGGUGGUGGAACGGGCCUGGAAUGUGGUGGACCCGGCUGGGAUGUGACAAAUGGUAUCAGAGCCAAUCCCUGGUUGGAAGUGUGCCGACGAGGACGUCGGGCCCCUAAGGGGGGGUAGAUUGUAAUAUCCCACAUCGCCCAAAGAGUGAUCCUUAAAUGUAUAUUCUCAUCUCUACCUAGCACGAGACCUUUUGGGAGCUCACUAGCUUCGAGUUCCGUAGGAACUCUGAAGUAAAGCGCGAAGGAGGCCACUGGCUUCGGGUUUCGUAGGAACUCCGAAGUAAAGCGAGAAUGAGGCCAGAGCACUUCCAAGAUGGGUGACCCACUGGGAAGUUGCUCAUGAGUUCUCAAAAACAAAACCGUGAGAGAAUGGUAAGCCCAAAGCGGACAAUAUCGUGUUACGGUGGUGGAACAGGCCCGGGAUGUAACACAAACCAUUGUUAAAAUAGGGUUCCAUCCUCAAGAAUAUCAAUAAAAGGUCUUACAUGAAUUUUCUAAACCUCACGGUUCAAAGAAGGUGAAAGAAAAUAGAUUUAAUGAGAACUUUUGUACAAAUUUGGAAAACAACAACAAAUUGGUAAUGGUUAGCCCAUGUUUUUUUGACAAAAAUGAAAUUUUUUUAUUUUUGCGAAAUAUUUUUUGUCAUGAUUAAAAAAAUUUAUAAGGCAGUUGAGAGAGGUUUUACCCAUGGUCCGAAAUGCAGAUAAUAUCGGCGAUAUAUCGCCGAUAUUAUCGGUUUUGAGGAGUACCGAUUUUUUUUUCUAUAUCCAACUGGUUUUCGGGAUAAUAUCGCGAUGUUAUCGAUAUUAUCGAUAAUAUCGCGAUAUUAUCGAAUUUAUCGAUAAUAUCGGUGGCUGACUUCUCGGAGAAGAACGCCGGAGCUGUAGAAGCUCCGGCCGACUGUAAAACAGGACCCUAGACUCCGAUCUAGGUAUGAAAAUGAAAAACAAGACGAGAUGAACAUUUGUAUAUAUUCUUACUUUUUGGUUUUAGAUUCUAGCAAUACUUGCAAAAAAUUUAUGUGGCCCUUUGAUGUGGUUGGGUCAUCUCAUCUGAGAUGCCUGACUAAUUUUACAAUAUGUCCAUAACUUUUUGCAGUUUCAGACCAUGGACAUCAAAUAAUACUGCUUUUAUAAUGAAACCGUGUCCGUGUGCGUGAGUCCGUGAUAUUCUUUCACAUGCAGAACAGUGUGUCAUUGUCUAUUAUAUUCUUUCACGCGGCACGCCUUAUCAGAGGUGGAGUGAUAGUAUCAGAGGCAUUCAGCAUUUUCGUUUCUUCUUCUUCCCUUACCAUUUUCAAAGCUAUUCCAGAUCCAUUCCAAAGCUUGAAAACAAACGGUUCCAUAUUUAAGGUAAGUUUACAAACUUAAAUUUAUAUUAUUGUAAUUUAUACAACAACAAAUAAAUUUGUAUGGACUCGUAUGUUAAUUUUUUUAAGUAAUUAAUACUUGCAUGUUAAUUUUUGUAAGUAAUUAAGUAAUGUUAACAAUUACAUGUUAAUUUUUUUAAGUAAUUAAGUAAUGUUGUAUAAUUAUUCCCUAGGAUAAUUUUAAUAUGUUUAAUGUUAUUUAUUAUUUUAUUUCCCUUACCAUUUUCAAAGCUAUUCCAAAUCCAUUCCAAAGCUUGAACACAAACGGUUCCAUAUUUAAGGUAAGUUUACAAACUUAAAUUUAUAUUAUUGUAAUUUAUACAACAACAAAUAAAUUUGUGUGGACUCGUAUGUUAAUUUUUUUAAGUAAUUAAUACUUGCAUGUUAAUUUUUUUAAGUAAUUAAGUAAUGUUAACAAUUACAUGUUAAUUUUUUUUAAGUAAUUAAGUAAUGUUGUAUAAUUAUUCCCUAGGAUAAUUUUAAUAUGUUUAAUGUUAUUUAUUAUUUUAUUAAUAUUAGGUUUUAUUAUCAAAUUGGAUUAUUAUUCAUUAAUAAUAGGUUUUUUUUAUUAUCAAAUUGAAUUAUUAUUCAUUAAUAUUAGGUUUUAUUAUCAAAUUUGAUUAUUCUUCAUUAAAUUGGAUUAUUCAUUAAAUUGGAUUAUUAUCAAAUUGUAUUAUUAUUCAUCACCAUGUUUUAUAUUAGGAUUAUUUUUUUAUCAAAUUGGAUUAUUAUUCAUUAAUAUUAGGUUUUUUUUAAUUAUCAAAUUGGAUUAUUAUUCAUUAAUAUUAGGUUUUAUUAUCAAAUUUGAUUAUUCUUCAUUAAAUUGGAUUAUUAUCAAAUUGGAUUAUUAUUCAUCACCAUGUUUUAUAUUAGGAUUAUUUUUUUAUCAAAUUGGAUUAUUAUUCAUUAAUAUUAGGUUUUUUUAAUUAUCAAAUUGGAUUAUUAUUCAUUAAUAUUGGGUUUUAUUAUCAAAUUGGAUUAUUCUUCAUUAAAUUGGAUUAUUCAUUAAAUUGGAUUAUUAUCAAAUUGGAUUAUUAUUCAGUAAUAUUAGGUUUUAUUAUUCCAUAUUAUUUGUAUAAUUACUUAAAUUUUUACAAUCAUUUUCAUUACUUCAUAUUUAAUUCUUCUGUAGAAUAACUUUAUUAUUUAGGUUCUCUUAUUUUAUCAAAAAAUAAUUGUCUAAUUUUCAUGAAAAAUAAAUAUAGGUACAUUUAAGAUGUCAAGUGGAGUUACUAAACGUGAUCCAGCUUGGAAACAUGGAGACCCAAUAGACGGAAACAAACAUGGCACAAUUUGCAAAUAUUGUGGUCGGGUAAUGAAGAGUGGCGGAGUGACACGACUAAAGUACCAUCUUAGUGGAUUAGAUCCAGCAAAAAAUGUCCAACGAUGCGAUAAUGUCCCCCCAGAAGUGAAGGCAUUCAUCAGCAUAUUAUUAAAAAAUAAAAAACAGCAGAAGGAAAAGAUAACACAUGGAAUGGAAAAUAUUCGAGCUGGGCUACGAGGAGAAGUCAUUGGGCAAGCGGUUGACAGUGAUGAUGAUGACGAUGAGGACGAAUGUGAUGAUGACAUGGGACCUGAAGAACGACGCAGUUUGAAACAAGCAUUACGUGCCUCCAAACAGUCAGCAUGGGAAAGAGAACACCUUCAUAAAAUUCCUAAUAGGGGACAAGGUUCCGGGACAAGUGGUGGUGCACAAAUGAGACGGGGAGGCAGUCUUAGAGAAUCACAACCAACACCACCAAUAGCCCCAAGUUUAUAUAAGUCAUCCAACGCACGUCAAAAGAGUGUUUGGAGUUAUUUCAAGGGAGGUAAUGUGAAGGAGGGAAUGGGGCGUCUAAUUAGCAAGUUCUUUAUCUAUGAAAAUGUCCCUGCUGAGAAAGCAUCAUCACAUCAUUUCAAAAAUAUGGUAGUGGGAUGUCAACAGGCCGGUGUUGGAGUACAACCUCCCACUCCUUAUGAGAUAAGAAACAAAUAUUUGGAUAUGGAGUAUAAAGACAUUGGCGAGUAUGUUAACAAGUUGAGGUCAAAGUGGGAAACUAAUGGUUGCACAAUCAUGUGUGACGGAUAGACUGGGCCGACCAGAUUGUCUAUCAUAAACUUCAUGGUAUACUCCAAGGGAAAGACAAUUUUUUUGAAGUCUGUUGAUGCUUCAGACCAUAUAAAGAACUACAAGUAUAUUUACAAAUUAUUGAAGGAUGUAAUCAUGGAGGUGGGAGAGCAUAAUGUUGCCCAAGUCGUGACCGACAACGGUUCUGCAUUUGUCAAAGCUGGAAAAAAGUUAAUGAAGCAUCAUAAUGUGUUUUGGACAUCAUGUGCAGCACAUUGUAUUAAUCUCAUGUUUGAGGCAAUGGGGAAGAAAGAGAAUGUUGCUACUGUGGUCAAAAGAGCUAGAACAAUCACAAAUUAUAUUUACAAUCACGGUUGGUUAUUGGCAGAUGCGUGAAUUUUGCAAAGGAGAAAUCAUUCGUCCAGCUACCACUCGAUUUGCCACCAACUAUAUUGCAUUAGACAGCCUACUGAAGAAGAAAGCAGGGUUGAAGCAACUAUUCACUAGUGACGAUUGGGCCAACCACAAUUUCAGCCGCUCAAAUACAGGUCGUAUGGUGGAAAGUAUAGUGCUUGAUCAUGCUUUCUGGACUCAAUCAGAACAUGUGUGCCAACUGUUUGAACCUCUUUACAAAGUUUUACGGAUCGUUGACACAGAAGUGUAUCCUACUAUGGGGGCAGUAUAUGAGUUGAUGCGUGUAGUGAAGGAUGAAUUGGAAAGAAAACAUGGUGCAAGGUGGGUCAUAAAGAUAAUUGAAGAUCGAUGGUAUAAAACAUUAUACCACGAUUUGAAUGCAGCAGGUAUAAAUUAUGUCAUAAUUUGCAAUUCAUUUCUUUAGUUGCAUAAGUUUUAUUUCUCUUAUUAGAGUAUGUGUUUCUUUGAACAGCAUAUUAUUUGAAUCCUCGAUACCAAUACAGACCCGGUGUUGGAGAUGAUGGUACCCUUAUACGUGCUGUACAUAAUGUAUACUUUAAAUUAAAACCUGCAUCACCAAUAGUUGGCCAAUUUGGAAAUGAGGUACACAAUUACUUAAAUUAUAAUAAUUACUUAAAUUAUAAUAUUAAUAAUUACUUUGUUGGAUUAAACUAACACGAUUUAUUGAAUUCAGCUAACAUGGUUUAAAAGAUGCAAGAAGAACUUUUGGAGAACCAACAUCAAUUGCUGCUCGAACAACAAUGUCUCCUAGUGAGUGUAAACAUAUUUCACUAUAAGUUUAUAAUAGAAUUUGUUCGAGUUAUUAGGCUUAUCAACAUUGUUUUUCAUUGUAGCUGAAUGGUGGAUCAUGUAUGGGACCGAUGCACCAACUGUGAGAAAGUUAGCAAUCAAAGUAUUAUCACAAACAGCUUCCUCAUCUGCUUGUGAAAGAAAUUGGAGCACAUUUGCACUGAUACACACAAAGCAAAGAAAUAGGUUGGCGCAUAGUAGGUUGGAAAAAUUAGUUUAUUGCUACUACAACAUGAAGCUUCAAAUUCGAGAUAAGGAAGCAGAAAUAUAUCAUGUCGACCGUGGUGACCCACUAGAUGUGUUUGAUAUUGUUGGUGAAGAUGAUGAUAUGGAGGGUAACCAACUUUUUCAAUGGAUUAGACCUCUUCAUUUAGAUGAUGAUGAAGGCAACCCAGCUCCCAGAGUUGCUGAAGAAGCACGUAAUAAAGGGAUAAAUGUAGAAAGAGUAUUAGAGGAGGAGGUGGGAUCUAGCAGCGCUGACUCUUUGGAUGAACUUUUCCGCCCAAGACCAAGAAACACUGGAAUUCCACCUUCUUCCAAUCCUACACAACCACAACAUCGUGCUGAUACUAAUGAUAGCUCUAGUACAAGAUCAGGAGACUCACCUACCACCGGAGGUGGGAAUGAUGAAGGACAUAGUGGAGCUGGAGGUAGUGAAGCUGGAGGUAGUGGUGGUGGAUAUGGAAACUAUUAUGGACCACCACCUCCCGGAUAUAUGAGCCCCUUCACUGGUGAGGCAAACUUCACGCAUGCAACACAGGAUGAUGACCAUGGCAGUAGGCGGGCAGGACCAGGAAUUGGGUGCCAUAGGAAGGACUAUACUCGCAGAGAAAGAGGCAAGGGGAUUUUGUCAAGUCAAAAAGAUGACUCGUUAUCUAGAACUUCAGACUCUGUUGGAUUGGGAAGUAGUAACUAUGGUUAUACUCAUAACCAACCAUUUCCCUACCCUUCAUAUCCCAUUCCUGUUGGGAUGGAAUCGAGCGACUCAUGGAAACAAUUACAGCCUCAAUCUUCAAAUGAUUUUUCUUAUAGACAACCUCAACCAAUCUCGGAUCCAUAUGGGUGGCAUGUUUAACAAUUACAUGCAAAAACUAUUUUGGGGAUUUAUCAUUUGAUAACUACUCUUCACAAUACACUCAUUCUACACAUAGAGAUGAUGAAGAUAGUGAAAAAUUUGAACCUCAUAGGAACUCUAUGUGGUACUAAAGUGUAAAAUAUUGUACUAAUUCAUUAUAUAUAAAUGAUUAUGGUGUGUUUAGACUUCUUUCAUUAAUUACUACAUAUUUUCUACACUCAGAAUGUUUGUCAGAUCGCUAUAUAAUCAACUUGAUAAUGUUAAAUCAUCAUGCAAUGCAUUUCCUUCCAAUUUUUUGUGAUAAACUAAUAGAUAAUUGACUAAAUAAACAUCCUGCAAAGUUUCAAUAAAAAUUUCCAAGUUUUUCUUACAAUUUCCGUGGUUUCCAUGUAAUUUUUAUCGAUAUCGAUAUUAUCCCGAUAUUUCCAUCGAUAUUUCCGUGUUUUCGGAUUACCGAUAUUUCCGAUAUUACCGAUAUUUAAUACCUUGGUUUUACCAUUUAUUGAGCGACAAAUAUGCUUUAAAUAGAAUAUUGAAGCCGAAAACCAAAAAAAAAAAACUGAAAAAACGGUGAUGGGAUUCAAAACAUUGCUGAAACGAUACAUCAUCCUCAAGAUUAUGAACGAAAAGUGCUGAAUGAAUUUUCAAGACCUCACUGUGCAUUGAAGGUGAAAGCUUAUAUAGACCUUAUGAUGAUUUUUGUAUUGUUUUGCAAAACCGCCUAAAAACCGUGAUGGUUAGUCCAAGUUUUUUUGACAAAAAUUCAAAUUUUUGUAUUUUGCCAAAUAUUAUCCCUCAUAAUUAAAAAAACAAAAUCUUUAUAAGACAUUUGGAACCGGUGUUACUAUUUAUACGAGCCACAAAUGAAUUUUAAAUAGAAUAUAUUUACGCCGAAAACCGAAAAAUAAAUGGAAAAAGAAGUAGUGGGACCCAAAACAUUGCCGCAACAAGACUUCUUCCUUGAGAUUAUUAACGAAAAGUCUUAGAUGAAUUUUCAAGACCUCAUGGUGCAUUGAAAGUGAAAGCAUAUAGACUUUAUGACGAUUUAUUUUGCAAAACGACCAAAAAACCGUGGUGGUUAGCACUUGUUUUUUUUUUGUUGAGAAAAAUGCAAUUUGUUUUUGUGAAAUUUUUUUGUCAUGAUUAAGAAAAGCUUUAUAAGGAAUUUGGAAGCGGUUUUACUAUUUAUUAACCUACAAAUAAAUUUUAAAAGAGUUUUUAAGUUGAAAACUGAAAAAUAAUGGAAAAAAAAUAGUAGUGGGGUGAAAACUUUGCCAAAAUAGAAUUUCCAAACUCAGGAAUAUUAACGAAAGGUCCUACAUGAAUUUUCUAAACCUUACGGUGCAGUGAAGGUGAAAGAAAAUAGAUUUUAUAACAGCUUUUGUAAAAAUUUGCAAAAUCGCCUAAAAACCACGAUGGUUAGACCCCUUUUUGAGAAAAAAAAUGCAAUUUUUUAAUUUUGCGAUAUAUUUGCGUCAUGAUUAAGAAAAACUUUAUUGAGCCACAAAUAUUUCUAAUAUAAUAUUUAAACCGAAAACUGAAAAAAUAAAUGGAAAAAAAAAAACAGUGCGCACUCCAAAACAUUGCUGAAACAAGACUUCAUCCUUAAGAUUAUGAAUGAAAAGUGUUAGAUGAUUUUCAAGACCUCACGGUCUAUUAAGGUGAAAACAUAUGGACUUUAUGACGAUUUUUGUAAUAUUUUGCAAAAAACCGCCUAAAAAUCAUGAUGGUUAGUACACGGUUUUGGAGACCAAUUAAAAAAAAAUUUACCAAAUUUUUGCCGUCAUGAUUAAGAAAGACUUAAUAAAAACUUUGGAAGCGAUUUUUCCAUUUAUUGAGCUACAAAUGAAAUUUUAAAAGAAUUUUUAAGCCACAAACUGAAAAAUAAAUGGAAAAAAAAGUUGUGGGGCGAAAACAUUGCCGAAAUGAAAUUCCAAACUCAAAAAUAUCAAAGAAGGGUCUUACAUGAAUUUUCUAAACAUCACGAUGCGGUGAAGGUGAAGGCAAAUAGAUUUUAUGACAACUUUGUACAAAUUUGCAAAAUCGCCUAAAAACAGUGACAGCCCCAUGUUUUUUUUGAAAAAAAUGCAAACUUUUAUUUUUAAGAAAUAUUUUUCUCUAUUAUUAAAAAAAACUUUAUAAGGCAAUUGAAAGAUGUUUUACCAAUUAUUGAGCCGCAAAUAUAUUUUAAUAAAAUAUUUAAUCCGAAAAAUGGAAAAAUUAAUUGAAAAGAAUAGUAGUGGGGCAUAAACAUUGUGAAAACGCAAUUCCAAACUCAAAUAAUAUCAAUGGAAAGUCUUAUAUGAAUUUUCUAAACCUCACGAUGCGGUGAAGGUGAAAGCCAAAAGAUUUUAUAACUUUUAUAUAAAUUUGCAUAAUUGCCUUAAAACCGUGUAGGUUAGCAGUGAUAGCCCGUCCUGAAAUAUAUUGUCGAUGGUGUGAAAUGUCCAUUUUACCCUUGAGCGUUAUGUGGUGUUGUGUGGUUUAAGUUUUGGAUGUGGACAAAAUAUGUUAAGUUCUAAUUGUUUGGACCCAAUUAGAACUAAGCUUUUCUUUGUUUUUGGUUGGUAGCCCAAGCUGGACCACACACACACACAAACCCGUUGACUUCUCUCUCUCUCGGAUUUUUUUUCCAUUUCCGUACAAUUGUACGGACAAGCUUUCAACCAACUUCAUCACUCACGGAUCGAAGUUGUGGAAGUCGUAUUUGUGCUCCUUUCAACCUCAGGAGUCGAGUAGUGAUUUUGGUUGGACGUGAGGCCCUCAAAAACCUAAGAACCAAAAACCCCCGAAGAGGUGCACAGUGACUCGACGUGAUCGCGAAGGUUUCAGGUAGAUUUGAGACUUAAGAAGGUAUUAUUCUUGCUUUCCUAGCACGCUGGAUCAAUUUUGGAGUGGUUUUGACGUUAUAACUCUCGGGUUUAGUGAGUUGCAGGGGUGGCCGGAUUAUCGAGAUUUUUUCGGCGAGAUUACGUUGGAUUUUGGACGUAAAAUUGGUAAGGAUAUGUUCCUCUAGUCCUAAGCUUCAAUUUGGUAUAAAUUUCGUGAAUUUUGGUUGAGAAAUGAAGAAGAUAUUGAAGUUUAAAGUUUUUCCCAGUUUCCGACGACGGCGACGGAAUCCGAUGACUCACCGGAGAAAAAGACGAAUAUUCUGUCAAUUUUGACGGAAUAUUCCUAACGGCGACUAACGGCGUCAAGUAUCUUUAAUGGCAUAUUCUAUAUUUUUAAACGGCGUUAAGGAAUUCGUCAGUGUGCCAGGCACGUGCUUGCGUGUGGGCCUAGCGUCUGGCCAUGCCUUGGCCGGCGCGUGAGGGCGCGUGCGUGCUUAGAAAAUUUUUCUAAAAAUAUGGGGAUGUUCCCGAGGUUGUGUAGGUCUCAAUGGUAUAUUCAAAUACCCCAAUUGAGCAAUGUAUGAGAAGUUAUUACCUAGUUUUGUGUAUGUGCUUUAAAAUAACGUUUAUAUAGUUGUUUCGCAUAUAGGUGAGACCUAUCCUGAGGACGAGCGCAAUCAAUUGAGACUCGGGGGCUACGACCCUUCCACAUAUCAGUGAGUGGCCUUUUAGUUUUCAGUAUAUACUUAUAUACUUGGUAUUUUUCCCAGAAAAUCUAUUUAAAUGAAAUUAUGUUUUGAAAUGUCAUGCCUAUUGAUUUAUGCUUAGACUAUGAAUUAGUAUAGAAAUUGCAUAUAUCUAUGUUCAACGCUGUGGACGCUCAGGUAAGUACCAAGUGAGUUGUAGAUUGUUUAUAUGAUGGAUGAUUAUGUGAGAUGUGUUGAGAGCUCAUAAACCUGCACCCCGGCGUUCGUGCUCCCGCCCGUGGUUAGGGCACAGCCCUUCACGUGAUGUUCACCUCCCGCACCACACGCUUACCUUAGAUCCAAGUUAGGUGCACAGUCCUGUCAUACAGACCAUUUUAGGUGGUUCUGACUCGUAGGUGACCUACGAUUAUUCGAACAAUCUUCACAUGAUCGUAGCACUAGAGCUUAUUUAUUUACACCUAGUCUUGUCGUACAGACCACUAUAGGUGAUUCCGACUUGUGUGCUGGCAUACUUGUUGAGCUAUAGAUUCAGCCGUACAUGCCACUUUAGGUGGAUCCGGCUGAUAUGUUAUUUCUCAUGAGUUAUUUUACCUAAGUUACUUAUUAUGUUAUUUUGAGAUAUUUGGCACGACAUAUUUAUGAAUAUCAUUUUCUGAGCAUGGUUUUGAGAUAUGUAUAUAUAUUCUAUUUUCUGGGAAAUUAUAAAGGUUUUACGGCGAAGGGUUAGAACUUUCGAGAAAUGAAAUGGUUUUGAAAAGCUUUGUUUUUGCCCACUCACACUUUAUGUUUUGCGUCCCUCCAGCUUUUAGGUAGGAGUGCUUAUUGGUGGCUCUCGAGGAACUCACGGCAUAUCUGACAGAUUAUCACCAAUGUAGGAUCAUCUUUGGGGAUUGUAUAAUUAGUAUUCGUUAUGCUGGACUGCACUUAGGCUACUUAUGCUCUGGUUGUGCAAUCACACUUAAUAUCGCACUUGCACCUUAUCUUAUUUAGUGCUCUAGUUGGUUUUGUUUUUUUUAUUUGCAUUUCCUUAUAUUAAUAUUUCUUCCGCAUUGUGCAUAUGACUACGUUACCCUCAUGUGACGACCAGCAUGCCUCGAUCUAGGUCGGGGUGUGUCAUUAGCCCAUAUUUUUCAAAAAAAAAACAUUUUUGCGAAAUAAUAUUCGUCAUGAUAAGAAAAAAAAUUAAUAAGGAAUUUGGACGGUUUUACUAUUUAAUGAGCCACAAAAAAAAUUUUGAUAGAAUAUUUAAGCCGACAACUGAAAAAUAAAUUGAAAAGAAAAGUAGUGGGGUGAAACAUUGUCGAAACGCAAUUCCAAACUCAAGAAGUUCACCAUUCCAAACUCAAGAAUAUCAACAUAAAGUCUUACAUUAAUUUUUGUAAAACUCACGGCAUUGUGAAGGUGAAAGCAAAUAGAUUUUAUGACAUUUUUUUUACAAAUUUGCUAAACUGUCUAAAAACAGUGAUAACGACCACAUUUUUUUAGAACAAUACAAAUUUUUUAUUUUUGCGAAAUAUUUUUUGUCAUGAUUAAGGAAAACUUUAUAAGGCAGUUGAAAGGUGUUUUAAUAUUUAUUGAGCCACAAAUAUAUUUUCAAUAGAAUAUUUAAAUUGAAGACUGAAAUUCAAAAAUGCCAAAACACUGCCAAAAAGAAAUUCAAAACUCAAGAAUAUCAACGGAAGGUCUUACAUGAUUUUUUUAAACUUCAUAGUGCGUGAAGGUGAAAGCAAAUAGAUUUUAUUACAACUUUUGUGCAAAUUUGCAAAACCAUCUAAAAACCGUGAUGGUUAGCCACCAUUUUUUAAGAAAAAUACAAAUUUAGGCCCAUUAUGCAUACUAUCCUCAGUUUGUACAUAUUAUUCAUUGCUUAAUGAAUAUCGUACUUUUCUUGAAAAAAAAAAUGCAAAUUCUUGAGGGUGGAACCCCAUUUUAACAAUAUUUUGAGCCUUAAUAGUAUAUUUUUCACUUAUUUUUUUAGUUUUCGGUUUCAAAUAUUGUACUAAAUAUACAUUUGUUACUCAAUAAAUCAUAAAACCGCUUCCAAAUGCCUUAUAAAUUUUUUCUUAAUGCACACAAAAAAUAUUUCUAGAGAACAAAAAUUUGCAUUUUUCACAAAAAACGUGGACAGUUUUUAGUUGGUUUUGCAAAUUCGUACAUAAAUCAUCGUUCAAACUGUUUAUUUUCACCUUCACUACACCGUGAAGUUUUGAAAAUUAAGAUAAGACUUUCCUUGAGAUUCUUGAGGGUAAAACUCCAUUUGACAAUGUUUUGAACCUCACUGGUAUAUUUUUCACUUAUUUUUUUAGUUUUCAACUUAAAUAUUCUAUUAAAUAUACAUUUAUUGCUCAAUAAAUCAUACAUCCGCUUCGAAAUGCCUUAUAAAGUUUUCCUGAAUGCUUAGGGACAAUAUUUCCCAAAAAAAAAAAUUUGCAUUUUUGGCAAAAAAACGUGGGUUAACACUCACGAUUUUUAGUCGGUUUUACAAAUUCGUAUGUAAAUCAUCAUUCAAUCUAUUUAUUUUCUCCAUCGCCUCACCUCGAAGUUUUGAAAAUUAAGGUAAGACUUUCCAUUGAUAUUCGUGUGGGUGGAACCCCAUUUUAACAAUGUUUGGGCGUCACUUGUAUAUUUUUCACUUAUUUUUUUAGUUUUCGGCUUAAAAUAUUGUACUAAAUAUGCAUUUGUUGCUCAAUAAAUCAUAAAACUACUUCCACAUGCCUUAUAAAGUUCUCCUUAAUGCUCACGGAAAAUAUUUCGUGAAAAUAAAAAAUUUGCAUUUUGACAAAAACUGUGGGUUAACACUCAUGGUUUUUAGUCGAAUUUUGCAAAUUCUUGCAUAAAUCAUCGUUCGAUCUAUUUACUUUAACCUUAGCCUCACCGUAAAAUUUUGAAAAUUAAGGUAAAACUUUCCUUUGAAAUUCUUGUGGGUGGAACCCCAUUAUAACAAUUUGGGCCUCACUUGUAUAUUUUUCACUUUUUUUUUAGUUUUCGGCUUAAAUAUUCUACUAAAUAUACAUUUGUUGCUCAAUAAAUCAAAAAUUCAUUUCCAAAUGCCUUAUAAGGUUUUCCUUAAUGGUCACGGAAAUAUUUCAUGAAAAUAAAAAUCUGCAUAUUUGACAAAAAACGUGGGUUAAUCUCACGGUUUUUAGUCAGAUUUGCAAAUUCGUACAUAAAUCACCGUUCAAUCUAUUUAUUUUCACAAUCGCUGCACUGUGAAGUUUUGAAAAUUAAGGUAAGACUUUCUAUUGAUAUUCUUGAGGGUGGAACUGCAUUUGACAAUGUUUUCGGCCAUACUGGUAUAUUUUUCACUUAUUUUUUUAGUUUUCGACUUAAAUAUUCUACUAAAAAAAUAUUUGUUGCUCAUUAGAUUGUAAUCCGCUUCCAAAUACCUUAUAAAGUUUUUCUUAAUUCUCACGGAAAAUAUUUCGCGAAAAUAAAAAAUCUGCAUUUCUAACAAAAAAACAUAGGUUUACACUAAUGGUUUUUAGUUUGUUUUGCAAAUUCAUACAUAAAUCAUCGUUCAAUCUAUUUAUUUUCACCUUCACCUCACCAUGACAUUUUGAAAAUUAAGGUAGAAACUUUCUAGUUAUAUUCUUGAGGGUGGAACCCCAUUUGACAAUGUUUUGGGCCUCACUGGUAUAUUUUUCACUUAUUUUUUUAGUUUUUAGCUUAAAUAUUUUACUAAAUAUACAUUUGUUGUUCAAUAAAUCAUAAAUCCACUUCCUUAUAAUGUUUUCCUUAAUGCUCACGGGUUUACGAAUAAAAAAUUUGCAUUUUUUGACAAAACAACGUAUACCUACUGCGUUUAGGCAGUUUUGCAAAAUGGUACAAAAAUCGUCUAGUCUAUAUGUUUUCACCUCCAACAUGCCGUGACAAUUUGAGAGUUAAUGUUGGACAUUUUGUUUAUAUUCUUGUGGAUGGAGUUCUUUUUCUGUAAUGUUUUGGUGCCAACAAACUAUUUCUUUUACAUUUAUUUUUCAACUUUUGGCUUAAAUAUUAUAUUAAAUUUUAUUUGUGGCUCAAUAAAUGGUAACACCCUUCCAAAUGCCUUAGAAAGAUUUUUUAAAUUAUGAGGGAAAAUAUAUGGCAAAAAUUAAAAAAAUUUGAAUUUUUCUCAAAAAAUGUGGACGUUAUCACAAUUUUUGGGCGGUUUUGCAAAAUAGUAUAAAAAUAAUCGGCAUGGAGUCUAUAUGCGUUCACCUUCAAUGCAUUGUGACGAUUUGAGAAUCAAUGUUAGACUUUUUGUUUCUUGUGGAUGGAGUUCUUUUUUGGCAAUGUUUUAGGUAGACCGGCAGUUUUGACACGACACGAAAAUAACAGGUUUCGGGUCAACACGAUAACUUAUUGGAUCAUUAUCAGGUGACCUGUUAAGAACCCGUUAAUAACGGGUAUACACGCGGGUAACAUGAGGAUAACCCGUUUCGACCCGUUAAGAAAAAAAAAUAUUUUGAUAAUUUUAAAGUUUAAUUACUAAAAGAUUUAUUAUAAAAUACAAUAGCCAUAUUAAUAUAUACAAUAUAUUCUAUAUUAAAUAUAUUUUUUUCUAUUAUUAUUCUAUAUAAGUUAAAAAAAAAAGUUUUAGUCAUUAUUUAUUUUUAUUAUGAGAGUUCCUUAUUAUCAUUACUAGGAUAAAUUUUCCUUAACAUGUUGUCCAAAAUUAAAAUAAACUAAUAUAGUAUUUGUAUAGGCAAGAACUAAGAAGACUUCCCUCCCAGUCAGUUUGUACAUCAAGGGAGGCUGCAAGGUUGUAAGCAGUUUUAACAGAGAAGGUUCCAUUAGUCGAACCCUGCCAGAUGUAUCUAUCAUCAUCAGAAUCAAUAAGUCCAGCAGGGAUCCCAAUAAUCUCUUCCACAAUAUCAUUAGGUAGCAC